AUGCAGCCCAAGUAAGAAUAAUUACCGCCUCUUCUAUUUACUUACUUACAGUUACAGUGAUAAUUGGCUUUUACUCCUUUUAAGCUUUAAGAUAUCCAGUUCAAGUUAACCUUGAUCACUGCUUACAUGUUGGACAAAACCAGUUCAUGGUGUUAACGGUGAAGAUUUCAUCAGACAUUGUUAGGACACAUAUCUUGUGGAACCAUUCGGAACACGACUCGCAUUGAGCACACCAAAGAUCUGGGUUUUGUGCAUCCUGUGUGAUCCAUGGCAUCCGGCAUUUACACAUCAAUGAUGACUUUACACAUUUGGGUCAUGCAUUUUGUCGAUUUUCGACCUUUGCAAUGGGAAAUGGCUGGAAUGAUCCCUGCUUUAGACAUCUAAGCAGAUGGUCUCUCAUACCACACACUCUGAAAGUAAUAUUCAAAGGAUCUUGUUUGAACAGCAGCGCAACAAGAAAUGCAAUUGCAAAGACACCACAAUCCACAAAAUUUGCCUGCUGUUGUACAGGUGGUACGUUCACAGUUAUUGUGGGUCCUUUCUCCAUUAGUAGAGCAGCAAUCUGUUCCUUUACACUGGGUGUCAUCCGUCCUUUAACAUGCUGUCAUACAGGUUAAUUGAGAAAGGUGUGAAACCAAUUUUGGAUACCAAUACCCAAUGAUUUUUACUGGUGUGGAGAAUUUGUGAAAAUUCUCCCUAGUGUGUGGUGAAGUUGAAACAUAACCCAAAGUUGUGUUUUCCAAACCUUCUGCCUCAGAAAACUGUUUGUGCAAUACAGAAUGCGCUAUACCAAUGAUGUGGUCAGUCAACUCCUUUCCUGUUAUAAUGGUGUGUAUAUCUACAUCCUCCAAUUUGAAUUGGCUUUUUUUUCUUUGUUUGUUCGUCUGGAGGCUGCUGAUUAUCACAACUU